UAGUUGCAAGGUAUAGACCCGAAACCCGGUGAUCUAGCCAUGGGCAGGUUGAAGGUUGAGUAACAUCAACUGGAGGACCGAACCCACUAACGUUGAAAAGUUAGGGGAUGACCUGUGGCUAGGAGUGAAAGGCUAAUCAAACCGGGAGAUAGCUGGUUCUCCCCGAAAUCUAUUUAGGUAGAGCCUCGGACGAAUACUUACGGGGGUAGAGCACUGUUAAGGCUAGGGGGUCAUCCCGACUUACCAACCCUUUGCAAACUCCGAAUACCGUAAAGUAAUAUCCGGGAGACACACGGCGGGUGCUAACGUCCGUCGUGAAGAGGGAAACAACCCAGACCGCCAGCUAAGGUCCCAAAGUCAUAGUUAAGUGGGAAACGAUGUGGAAAGGCCCAGACAGCCAGGAGGUUGGCUUAGAAGCAGCCAUCCUUUAAAGAAAGCGUAAUAGCUCACUGGUCGAGUCGGUCUGCGCGGAAGAUGUAACGGGGCUAAACUAUGCACCGAAGCUGCGGAUUCAGAAUUUAUUCUGAGUGGUAGGGGAGCGUUCUGUAAGCGGUUGAAGGUGUACCGGGAGGUAUGCUGGACGUAUCAGAAGUGCGAAUGCUGACAUGAGUAACGAUAAUGCGGGUGAAAAACCCGCACGCCGGAAGACCAAGGGUUCCUAUCCCAUGUUAAUCAGGGUAGGGUAAGUCGACCCCUAAGGCGAGGCCGAAAGGCGUAGUCGAUGGGAAACGGAUUAAUAUUUCCGUACUUGGUAUAAUUGCGAUGGGGGGACGGAGCAGGCUAAGCAAGCAUGGCGUUGGUAGUCCAUGUGAAAGUGAGUAGGCUAGCGACUUAGGUAAAUCCGGGUUGCUGUUAGGCUGAGACACGAGACGAGUCACUAAGGUGAUGAAGUUGCUGAUGCCAUACUUCCAGGAAAAGCCUCUAAGCUUCAGAUUAUACCGAAUCGUACCCCAAACCGACACAGGUGGUCAGGUAGAGAAUACUAAGGCGCUUGAGAGAACUCGGGUGAAGGAACUAGGCAAAAUCGUACCGUAACUUCGGGAGAAGGUACGCUCCGAUUGGUGAUGGGACUUGCUCCCUAAGCUGAUUGGAGCCGCAGUGACCAGGUGGCUGGGACUGUUUAUUAAAAACACAGCACUGUGCAAAAUCGCAAGAUGACGUAUACGGUGUGACACCUGCCCGGUGCCGGAAGGUUAAUUGAUGGGGUUAUCUUCGGAGAAGCUCUUGAUCGAAGCCCCGGUAAACGGCGGCCGUAACUAUAACGGUCCUAAGGUAGCGAAAUUCCUUGUCGGGUAAGUUCCGACCUGCACGAAUGGUGUAACCAUGGCCACGCUGUCUCCACCCGAGACUCAGUGAAAUUGAAAUCGCAGUGAAGAUGCUGUGUACCCGCGGCUAGACGGAAAGACCCCGUGAACCUUUACUACAGCUUGGCACUGAACAUUGAACCUACAUGUGUAGGAUAGGUGGGAGACUUAGAAGAUGAGACGCUAGUUUUGUUGGAGUCGUCCUUGAAAUACCACCCUUGUAGUUUUGAUGUUCUAACGUUGGCCCCUGAAUCGGGGUUACGGACAGUGCCUGGUGGGUAGUUUGACUGGGGCGGUCUCCUCCCAAAGAGUAACGGAGGAGCACGAAGGUUGGCUAAGUACGGUCGGACAUCGUACGGUUAGUGUAAUGGUAGAAGCCAGCUUAACUGCGAGACAGACACGUCGAGCAGGUACGAAAGUAGGUCAUAGUGAUCCGGUGGUUCUGAAUGGAAGGGCCAUCGCUCAACGGAUAAAAGGUACUCCGGGGAUAACAGGCUGAUACCGCCCAAGAGUUCAUAUCGACGGCGGUGUUUGGCACCUCGAUGUCGGCUCAUCACAUCCUGGGGCUGAAGUCGGUCCCAAGGGUAUGGCUGUUCGCCAUUUAAAGUGGUACGCGAGCUGGGUUUAGAACGUCGUGAGACAGUUCGGUCCCUAUCUGCCGUGGGCGUUUGAGAAUUGAGAGGGGUUGCUCCUAGUACGAGAGGACCGGAGUGAACGAACCGCUGGUGUUCGGGUUGUCAUGCCAAUGGCAUUGCCCGGUAGCUACGUUCGGAACUGAUAAGCGCUGAAAGCAUCUAAGCGCGAAGCAGGCCUCGAGAUGAGUUCUCACUAGAGCUUUAAGCUCUCUGAAGGGCCGUUGAAGACUACAACGUUGAUAGGCAAGAUGUGGAAGCAUAGUGAUAUGUUAAGCUAACUUGUACUAAUUACCCGUGAGGCUUAACCAUACAACGCCAAACGCGUUU
rnacentral:rRNA from 1 species